rnacentral:rRNA from 1 species
UAAUACGUAGGGUGCGAGCGUUAAUCGGAAUUACUGGGCGUAAAGCGUGCGCAGGCGGCUCUUUAAGUCAGAUGUGAAAGCCCCGGGCUUAACCUGGGAACUGCGUUUGAAACUGGAGAGCUGGAGUGUGGCAGAGGAAGGUGGAAUUCCUGGUGUAGCAGUGAAAUGCGUAGAGAUCAGGAGGAACACCGAUGGCGAAGGCAGCCUUCUGGGCCAACACUGACGCUCAUGCACGAAAGCGUGGGGAGCAAACAGGAUUAGAUACCCUGGUAGUCCACGCCCUAAACGAUGUCGACUGGUUGUUGGGGGAGUUAAAUCCCUUAGUAACGAAGCUAACGCGUGAAGUCGACCGCCUGGGGAGUACGGCCGCAAGGUUGAAACUUAAAGGAAUUGACGG